AGCAGCCGCCGGUAAUUCCCAGCUCCAAUAGCGUAUAUUAAAGUUGUUGCAGUUAAAAAAGCUCGUAGUUGAAUUUCGGGAUCAAUGUUUCGGUCAUGCCCUUGGUAUGUACUGAUAUUAUUGGUUUCUCACCUUCUAAAGAACCGUAAUGCCAUUAAUUUGGUGUCACGGGGAAUUAGGACUGUUACCUUGAAAAAAUUAGAGUGUUUAAAGCAGGCUCACGCUUGAAUACAUUAGCAUGGAAUAAUGAAAUAGGACAUCCGAUUCUAUUUUGUUGGUCUCUAGGAUCGAUGUAAUGAUUAAUAGGGAUAGUUGGGGGCAUUAGUAUUCAAUUGUCAGAGGUGAAAUUCUUGGAUUUAUUGAAGACUAACUACUGCGAAAGCAUUUGCCAAGGAUGUUUUCAUUAAUCAAGAACGAAAGUUAGGGGAUCGAAGACGAUCAGAUACCGUCGUAGUCUUAACCAUAAACUAUGCCGACUAGGGAUCGGAUGAUGUUAAUUUUUUAAUGACUCA
rnacentral:rRNA from 1 species